rnacentral:rRNA from 1 species
GACGAACGCUGGCGGCGUGCUUAACACAUGCAAGUCGAACGGAAAGGCCCUGCUUUUGUGGGGUGCUCGAGUGGCGAACGGGUGAGUAACACGUGAGUAACCUGCCCUUGACUUUGGGAUAACUUCAGGAAACUGGGGCUAAUACCGGAUAGGAGCUCCUGCUGCAUGGUGGGGGUUGGAAAGUUUCGGCGGUUGGGGAUGGACUCGCGGCUUAUCAGCUUGUUGGUGGGGUAGUGGCUUACCAAGGCUUUGACGGGUAGCCGGCCUGAGAGGGUGACCGGCCACAUUGGGACUGAGAUACGGCCCAGACUCCUACGGGAGGCAGCAGUGGGGAAUAUUGCACAAUGGGCGGAAGCCUGAUGCAGCAACGCCGCGUGCGGGAUGACGGCCUUCGGGUUGUAAACCGCUUUCGCCUGUGACGAAGCGUGAGUGACGGUAAUGGGUAAAGAAGCACCGGCUAACUACGUGCCAGCAGCCGCGGUGAUACGUAGGGUGCGAGCGUUGUCCGGAUUUAUUGGGCGUAAAGGGCUCGUAGGUGGUUGAUCGCGUCGGAAGUGUAAUCUUGGGGCUUAACCCUGAGCGUGCUUUCGAUACGGGUUGACUUGAGGAAGGUAGGGGAGAAUGGAAUUCCUGGUGGAGCGGUGGAAUGCGCAGAUAUCAGGAGGAACACCAGUGGCGAAGGCGGUUCUCUGGGCCUUUCCUGACGCUGAGGAGCGAAAGCGUGGGGAGCGAACAGGCUUAGAUACCCUGGUAGUCCACGCUGUAAACGGUGGGUACUAGGUGUGGGGUCCAUUCCACGGGUUCCGCGCCGUAGCUAACGCUUAAGUACCCCGCCUGGGGAGUACGGCCGCAAGGCUAAAACUCAAAGGAAUUGACGGGGCCCCGCACAAGCGGCGGAGCAUGCGGAUUAAUUCGAUGCAACGCGUAGAACCUUACCUGGGUUUGACAUGGAUCGGGAGUGCUCAGAGAUGGGUGGGCCUCUUUUGGGGUCGGUUCACAGGUGGUGCAUGGCUGUCGUCAGCUCGUGUCGUGAGAUGUUGGGUUAAGUCCCGCAACGAGCGCAACCCUUGUUCACUGUUGCCAGCACGUUAUGGUGGGGACUCAGUGGAGACCGCCGGGGUCAACUCGGAGGAAGGUGGGGAUGACGUCAAGUCAUCAUGCCCCUUAUGUCCAGGGCUUCACGCAUGCUACAAUGGCUGGUACAGAGAGUGGCGAGCCUGUGAGGGUGAGCGAAUCUCGGAAAGCCGGUCUCAGUUCGGAUUGGGGUCUGCAACUCGACCUCAUGAAGUCGGAGUCGCUAGUAAUCGCAGAUCAGCAACGCUGCGGUGAAUACGUUCCCGGG